AAAGUGCUUCCACUUUGUGUGCC
rnacentral:ncRNA from 2 species